rnacentral:tRNA from 2 species
CCCUCGGUCGUCUAGUUGGUUCAUGGCGUCUGGCUGUAAUGUAGAUCGCUACCAGAAUGUCGCGCGUUCGACUCGCGCCUGAGGGA